ensembl:ncRNA F28F5.8 ncRNA
CAAAAGGUUUCUGGUCUCUGAAAUUAGCUAUUGGUAAGGCAAAAGGGACGCGAAAGCUGGAAAGAAACAUCAAUUACCAAAAGAGACACUUGUUUUUCGCUUUUUUCUGUGUUUUGACUUCUGACGCCUUCACAUCAGAUGUCCCAUGUCAGAAGCUUUUCCUUUCAUUUUUCUUAAAAUUUAUUCGAUUUCUAAAAAAUAAUCU